rnacentral:misc_RNA from 1 species
AUUACUUCCAAAAUGGCCGCUUGUGAAUGUUUUGGGUGUUUUUUAACUUUAAUUCAAUACCGGAAUGAUUAUUUAUCUGUUACAUGUUUUUACCUCUAUUUAGUGCAAUUGAAAAUUGAAACGACAAUAAUAUUGUUUUUGUGUUCAUUAUAAUGUUCUUGGGUUCUAUUUCUUCAAUGCUGUGUUAUCCGCUUGGAACAAUUAUGCGAUGCGUGUUUGGUGUCAUCUGGUUCAUUACAUCGUCAACACUUAUUAUAAGUACUUUUAUUUAUCCUAGGUCUGUAGGUAUAUAUAUACACACUUAUAAAACGCCAUAUUCCAUAAGUACUCGCAUAGUGAAAUAGUCUGUCCUUUUUUUGUUUACUAGGACCGUUUCAUCGAUGUUGAAUUAUUUUAUUAUAAUGUCAUUAAUUUUUCCUUGAUUUUCCAGUUUCCUGUUGACGUCUUGACUGUUUCGGUAAUAUCUGCUGCAGUAGUCC